CUAGAUGUAUCCUUGGAGACCUCUGGUGCCUGCUGGCAACCCAGGGAACUCAAAGAUGAAGCAGAUGCCUCCUAUACUCUCUCAGAGGGGAGGGGCUGCUGGAGUUCCUAGCAAAGGUUUCCAUUACUUUCAGUAGGAAGUUAAACAAGCACCAUCCAAUUGGAGAUCCUUUUCCUUUAAACAUGCUCAGAAUGACCCAGAAUCUCUCUCUAAGGCCAUGGUGUCCAACCCGCUAGCUACUAUGUAGCUAUUUGGCUUAUUGAGUGUGGCUAGUUGGCUCACAAAAUUAUUAAUAUUUUCAGAAUAACAUGGCUAGUUCACUAUAGCAGUAGCCACUAUAGUAGCUACUGAUUUAGAACUGGUUAGACACCACGGCUCUAAGAUGACCAGAACACAUGAAAUAAAUAAUAGUAGCACAGAUCAGCCUUGACCUGUAAGACCAUUCAGGGUAGAUAACUAGAGGAAUAAUAAUAAAACCUGAACCAUGUUCCUUUGACACUUAUUGCCUAAGCAAAGCAAGGUCCUACAAACAUAUCAAAAGCAUUUCUGUUUAUAUAUGUAAUCAGUAACUUUUAAAACUGCAUUGAAUACAUUCUAGAAUGUCAGGGAGUAUUCUAGGCACUACUGGACAGAAUUUGUAUUGUGGUGAAAAUCAGAAAAGCCUGCUUUCCAGUAACAUCAGAUUUGUACUAUGAUGGAGUGGGAUUCCCACAUUAGCCUUGCAAAUGCAGAAUUAGAUUAGGUGGGCCCAAUCAGUUAAUUAGGCUUUAUUUUGGAGGCAGCUCAUCAGAGCCAGGCCCACCUGUGUAGGAAGAGAUGAGGCUGUUGGGGUCCUGAAGCAAAAAAGGAGUCGCUGACCAGAAAGAGAGAAUGAGUAAUGGCACACAAAUCAGGGAAGAGAGCAUCUACCUCAAGAGUUGAUCAUCCGAGAGAUCAGGCAGAGAUGCCAGAGGAGGGGACCUAAAGUUACAGCCACCAGGAAUAGAACUCUAUUCAUAUGAAAGCUGUCAGACAAAUCGAAUGGCUGUAAGGAAGGCUUGGAGAAGAGCUCCACUAAUCACAUGACAAGCAUUAUGGGCAGUACAGCACUUUCUAAUUUUGGCUUGUUCAGUUAUUUAGAGUUUGUAUUAGUUCACUUCUACAUGAACAAAUGAAUUAACUUAUUAAUGUAUCUCAAGAGUCUGAAAAGUAUUAACUUGGGUCAAAAUAAAGACCACUAUUGUACCCUA